CACGUAGGCGGUUUUGGUUUAGUCUGAUGUGAAAUCCCUCGACUCAAUCGAGGAAGUGCAUUGGAUACUGCCAGGCUAGAGUGCAGGAGAGGUGAGCGGAAUUCCUGGUGUAGAGGUGAAAUUCGUAGAUAUCAGGAGGAACAACGGUGGCGAAGGCGGCUCACUGGACUGUAACUGACGCUGAGGUGCGAAAGCGUGGGGAGCAAACA
rnacentral:rRNA from 1 species